AAGCUUGUGAACCCAGAGAUUCUUGGAGCCCUGCCUUCAGUGUCUGAUUCAGUAGGGAGAGCCCAGGAAUCUGCGUUUGAAUAUCUACUGGGGUUUCCGAUUGAAUUCUCCAACUGAGUGUUCUGCCCAUCCUGCGAAUCCACAAGAUUUCAACUAUUGUCUACAUCUCUGGCCCUGACUUCAAUCCUUCAUCCUCCGAUGCUGCUUGAAAUUCCCUAGUUGGGUGUUUUGCCUAUCUCAAAUUAAUUGUCUACAACUGAACUCAUCUUCGGCUUGGAACCAGAACAGACAAGAUGCUUAAUGUGGAAGAAAUUUUUAUGACAGAAAUAUUCAAAUGGAGGAUGGAAAAUCACUUGUUGGGAGUGCCUUUAGGAGGACUGUCUGUAUCCAGGAAAAAUACAAGGGAGCUGUGAUUCUAAUUGUGAAGAUUAGUUAUGAAGUAUUUUCAGUUAAAAAUUCUACUUAGGAAGUAGUACUUGUAAUUGAGAGAAUUUUGAAGUGUGGGACUCCUGUCUUCUCUGUCCCUGGAUCCUGCUGCCUUCAGUGUUUUGCAAAGCCGGAGUCAUUUUCCAGGUCAACAAUUCUGAUCCUGAUGCUGUUACAAAGUAAACCAUUAGCCUAGGCA